rnacentral:rRNA from 1 species
UUGAUUCAGCGGCGGACGGGUGAGUAAUGCCUAGGAAUCUGCCUGGUAGUGGGGGACAACGUUUCGAAAGGAACGCUAAUACCGCAUACGUCCUACGGGAGAAAGCAGGGGACCUUCGGGCCUUGCGCUAUCAGAUGAGCCUAGGUCGGAUUAGCUUGUUGGUGAGGUAAUGGCUCACCAAGGCGACGAUCCGUAACUGGUCUGAGAGGAUGAUCAGUCACACUGGAACUGAGACACGGUCCAGACUCCUACGGGAGGCAGCAGUGGGGAAUAUUGGACAAUGGGCGAAAGCCUGAUCCAGCCAUGCCGCGUGUGUGAAGAAGGUCUUCGGAUUGUAAAGCACUUUAAGUUGGGAGGAAGGGCAGUAAGCUAAUACCUUGCUGUUUUGACGUUACCGACAGAAUAAGCACCGGCUAACUCUGUGCCAGCAGCCGCGGUAAUACAGAGGGUGCAAGCGUUAAUCGGAAUUACUGGGCGUAAAGCGCGCGUAGGUGGUUUGUUAAGUUGGAUGUGAAAGCCCCGGGCUCAACCUGGGAACUGCAUCCAAAAC